rnacentral:rRNA from 1 species
GACGAACGCUGGCGGCGUGCCUAAUACAUGCAAGUCGAGCGGACUGAUUAAGAGCUUGCUCUUAUGACGUUAGCGGCGGACGGGUGAGUAACACGUGGGCAACCUGCCCUGUAGAUCGGGAUAACACCGAGAAAUCGGUGCUAAUACCGGGUAAUAUCUGAGAUCACAUGAUCUUAGGUUAAAAGAUGGCUCCGGCUAUCACUACAGGAUGGGCCCGCGGCGCAUUAGCUAGUUGGUAAGGUAAUGGCUUACCAAGGCGACGAUGCGUAGCCGACCUGAGAGGGUGAUCGGCCACACUGGGACUGAGACACGGCCCAGACUCCUACGGGAGGCAGCAGUAGGGAAUCUUCCGCAAUGGACGAAAGUCUGACGGAGCAACGCCGCGUGAGUGAUGAAGGGUUUCGGCUCGUAAAGCUCUGUUGUUAGGGAAGAAACAGUACCGAACGAACUAGGUCGGUACCUUGACGGUACCGAACCAGAAAGCCACGGCUAACUACGU